UUUACCAAAAACAUCACCUCUGGCAUUAAUAGUAUCAGAGGCACUGCCUACCCAGUGACACCAGUUCAACGGCCGCGGUAUCCUGACCGUGCAAAGGUAGCAUAAUCACUUGUUCUCUAAAUAGGGACUUGUAUGAAUGGCCACACGAGGGUUUAACUGUCUCUUACUUUUAAUCAGUGAAAUUGACCUUCCCGUGAAGAGGCGGGAAUAUAGUAAUAAGACGAGAAGACCCUAUGGAGCUUUAAUUAACCAGGUUACGAAAAUUAAAACUCAUUCCUACAGGAGAUAAUUACAUAUUUUCGGUGAUCUGGCAAUUUAGGUUGGGGUGACCUCGGAAUACAGAAAAACUUCCGAGUGAUUAUAAUAUAGACCUACAAGUCGACACAAUACAUCACUUAUUGAUCCAAACCAUUGAUCAACGGAACAAGUUACCCUAGGGAUAACAGCGCAAUCCUAUUCUAGAGUCCAUAUCGACAAUAGGGUUUACGACCUCGAUGUUGGAUCAGGACAUCCUAAUGGUGCAGCAGCUAU
rnacentral:rRNA from 1 species